UGUGAUGUCACCCAGCUCCAACGCCCCCGGGGCUCUCGCCAGAGUCGGGAACAGCUGACGUGUGCGGGAAUUCUCCUUUUAGCAGACACAAAGAUGAUUUAUAAGAAAUCCCUGCCUGCACUUCCUCCAGCUGCUUCAGUAUCUUUCCCUGGGUGUUUUUACGCACAGAACAGUCCUCCUGCAGACAGCAGCUAAAAUCACUGAGAGAGAGAAAUACAGCUGGAAUCACAGAAACAUAAGGGAACAAGUCCAGGGAUCAGAUACAGGUCCCCCCCAGCCCUCUCCACUGUGUCAAGCUGAAUCUGCCUUGUCUGCUGCUUCAGACCCUGAACUCCUGAAAACUGCUGUGACUUCCUUGGAAAUACGUCAGUGCUGCCCUAGAUACCGAGGCUGCUCCACCAAACAGUCCUUUCCACACUGCACAGUGACUACCAGACUAUUUCUCCUGUUAUUCUCAGCAUCUCUGGGUUCAUCCUCAUUCCCCCUUUCCUGCCAGCCCACCCAGAGC